rnacentral:rRNA from 1 species
AGAGUUUGAUCCUGGCUCAGAACGAACGCUGGCGGCGUGGAUAAGACAUGCAAGUCGAACGAGAGAAUUGCUAGCUUGCUAAUAAUUCUCUAGUGGCGCACGGGUGAGUAACACGUGAGUAACCUGCCCCCGAGAGCGGGAUAGCCCUGGGAAACUGGGAUUAAUACCGCAUAGUAUCGAAAGAUUAAAGCAGCAAUGCGCUUGGGGAUGGGCUCGCGGCCUAUUAGUUAGUUGGUGAGGUAACGGCUCACCAAGGCGAUGACGGGUAGCCGGUCUGAGAGGAUGUCCGGCCACACUGGAACUGAGACACGGUCCAGACACCUACGGGUGGCAGCAGUCGAGAAUCAUUCACAAUGGGGGAAACCCUGAUGGUGCGACGCCGCGUGGGGGAAUGAAGGUCUUCGGAUUGUAAACCCCUGUCAUGUGGGAGCAAAUUAAAAAGAUAGUACCACAAGAGGAAGAGACGGCUAACUCUGUGCCAGCAGCCGCGGUAAUACAGAGGUCUCAAGCGUUGUUCGGAAUCACUGGGCGUAAAGCGUGCGUAGGCUGUUUCGUAAGUCGUGUGUGAAAGGCGCGGGCUCAACCCGCGGACGGCACAUGAUACUGCGAGACUAGAGUAAUGGAGGGGGAACCGGAAUUCUCGGUGUAGCAGUGAAAUGCGUAGAUAUCGAGAGGAACACUCGUGGCGAAGGCGGGUUCCUGGACAUUAACUGACGCUGAGGCACGAAGGCCAGGGGAGCGAAAGGGAUUAGAUACCCCUGUAGUCCUGGCAGUAAACGGUGCACGCUUGGUGUGCGGGGAAUCGACCCCCUGCGUGCCGGAGCUAACGCGUUAAGCGUGCCGCCUGGGGAGUACGGUCGCAAGAUUAAAACUCAAAGAAAUUGACGGGGACCCGCACAAGCGGUGGAGUAUGUGGCUUAAUUCGAUGCAACGCGAAGAACCUUACCUGGGCUUGACAUGUAAUGAACAACAUGUGAAAGCAUGCGACUCUUCGGAGGCGUUACACAGGUUCUGCAUGGCCGUCGUCAGCUCGUGUCGUGAGAUGUUUGGUUAAGUCCAGCAACGAGCGCAACCCCUGUUGCCAGUUACCAGCACGUGAAGGUGGGGACUCUGGCGAGACUGCCCAGAUCAACUGGGAGGAAGGUGGGGACGACGUCAGGUCAGUAUGGCCCUUAUGCCCAGGGCUGCACACGUACUACAAUGCCCAGUACAGAGGGGGCCGAAGCCGCGAGGCGGAGGAAAUCCUAAAAACUGGGCCCAGUUCGGACUGUAGGCUGCAACCCGCCUACACGAAGCCGGAAUCGCUAGUAAUGGCGCAUCAGCUACGGCGCCGUGAAUACGUUCCCGGGUCUUGUACUCACCGCCCGUCA